rnacentral:rRNA from 1 species
ACUCCUACGGGAGGCAGCAGUGGGGAAUAUUGGACAAUGGGGGGAACCCUGAUCCAGCCAUGCCGCGUGUGUGAAGAAGGCCUUUUGGUUGUAAAGCACUUUAAGCGAGGAGGAGGCUUACCUGGUUAAUACCUGGGAUAAGUGGACGUUACUCGCAGAAUAAGCACCGGCUAACUCUGUGCCAGCAGCCGCGGUAAUACAGAGGGUGCAAGCGUUAAUCGGAUUUACUGGGCGUAAAGCGCGCGUAGGUGGCUAAUUAAGUCAAAUGUGAAAUCCCCGAGCUUAACUUGGGAAUUGCAUUCGAUACUGGUUAGCUAGAGUAUGGGAGAGGAUGGUAGAAUUCCAGGUGUAGCGGUGAAAUGCGUAGAGAUCUGGAGGAAUACCGAUGGCGAAGGCAGCCAUCUGGCCUAAUACUGACACUGAGGUGCGAAAGCAUGGGGAGCAAACAGGAUUAGAUACCCUGGUAGCUACGAGU